GCUGGAGUAGCUCAGGUGGGAGAGCAUUAGACUGAAGAUCUAAAGGUCCCUGGAUCUGUCCUGGGCUUCGGCA
rnacentral:tRNA from 1 species